CCUACGGGAGGCUGCAGUGAGGAAUAUUGGUCAAUGGGCGGGAGCCUGAACCAGCCAAGCCGCGUGAGGGAAGAAGGUACAGCGUAUCGUAAACCUCUUUUGUCAGGGAACAAAGGCGGGGACUAGUCCCCGGAUGAGGGUACCUGAAGAAAAAGCAUCGGCUAACUCCGUGCCAGCAGCCGCGGUAAUACGGAGGAUGCGAGCGUUAUCCGGAUUUCUUGGGUUUAAAGGGUGCGCAGGCGGCCUGUUAAGUCAGCGGUAAAAGCCAGGGGCUCAACCCCGGCGAGCCGUUGAAACUGGCGGGCUGGAGUUGGCGAGAAGUACGCGGAAUGCGCGGUGUAGCGGUGAAAUGCUGAGAUAUCACGCAGAACCCCGAUUGCGAAGGCAGCGUACUAACCUGCCACUGACAUUGAUGCUCGAAAGUGUGGGUAUCAAACAGGAUUAGAUACCCUUGUAGUC
rnacentral:rRNA from 1 species